UCCCCAUCCCCGACCCCAUCCUUAUCCCUAAUCCCGUCGACACCUAGCCGCGUCCGCUCCACUACCGCCGACGGCAAGAACCCUGCCCAGCCACCGUCUCCAUCUCCUUCAUCCCUUCCGCUCCUCUGGUCCUUCCUCUUCCCCUACCGCAGCCACUCAUCGUCGGGUGGUGCUAGCCAUCGAGGGAGGUGGAUGUGGCUUUGCUAGUGGUCGGGGACGACGGUGAUGACGAUUUAGUUUUUCCCGUAAGGCGGAGCAGAUGCCUUACGCCCUGGACACGCCUUACCGCCUUAUGGACGCUAAGGCGUCGCCUUACAGACGCCUUAACAACCAUGCUUAGUAGACUAGUAAAAAUAUUUUUUGUUUCUACUUUCAUAUUGUGUUUCUAGUAAUACCUCCGUUCCAAAUUUGUGGUCGUUUUGACUUCUUGUUUGUAACGUUUGACUAUUCAUCUUAUUUGAAAAAUUAGUGCAAAUAUAAAAAAAGACAAGUCAUACUUAAAGUACUUUUGGUAAUAAAGCAAGUCACAAACAAAAUAAAAAAAUUAUUCCAUAACUUUUUUAAUAAGACAAAUGAUCAAAAUUUACAAACAAAAACUCAAAGCGACAAAUAUUUUGGGACGAAAAUAGUAGUAUUUUUAUUUUUAUUUCUGUUAGUAACCAUUUCUUCAGAGGGUGUAUAUGUAAUAAUUGGAUGUAUAUUCUGUGAACCAAAAGCCAGAAUUAAUUAUAUUA